CGAGAAUCAAAAUCCCAAAAAUUCAAAACUGCCACUCAAAACUCUCCCCCCUUUCUCAGAGCCCUCUUCUCCCUCAUUCGUCGAUCACUGGCGAAAUAAUUUUGUUACGGCUUGCGAGGAGAAGCGAAUUCACUUGCGGAGGAGCGAAAUCACUUUCUCUCUCAUCUCACGUUCUUCUUCGGCAAAGCUAGGGUUUGCAGCAUUGCAGUAGAACUCACUGAUUUUCUGAACAAUGAGAGUAAUUAAGAUCAUUGAUUUGGUGAACUCUGCCGUAGAAUGGGAUUCUGAACUUCAGAGUGAUGAUGGAUGAUAAUCAUGAUAACUUGAUAAAGGGUGCUGAUGCGUUCUCCUACGAAGUGAUGGACUGAUGGUUGGCAUAAUCCUUAUCACCUGUCAAACCAUGAUCUUGUCAGCUCAUUGCUUCUGGCCAUCUUCGCUCUUUGUGCUCCAAAGCCAGGCAUUUUGCACGUUUUGGAAUCAAAGGGACAGAGACAACUUCCGCCUCAAGUGAAGUGUUCAAAUACAAACAAGGAGUUCCAGGUGGCUUUGGUUUUUUGCUUGCUCCCAAUGCAACAUCUUCAAGCAGACCCUUUUAGAUCAUGACUUUUGCCAGGUAUUUAUCCAAUGAUCACAACUGAAAACUUCUAGCAUACCCAAUGAAUGAUCCUACUUGACUAUUUGUAGUAACUGCAAACUGCCGCCCUCAACUGAAUAACCAGUUACCUUGGCGAAUUAUUAAAUGCACCCGGGAGCACCUAGCUUUGUGCUCUAAGGAGGCCUGUGAUGACCAAUUGACCACGGGCCGGUUCACGCAAGGUAAAUGCACCGGGAGCACCUAGCUUUGUGCUCCUAAGGAGGCCUGUAAUGAACACGGGCCGGUUCACGUACAAGUGGUGUAACUAAUGGAAUUACCUUGGCGAAUUAUUAAAUGCACCCGAGAGCACCUAGCUUUGUGCUCUAAGGAGGCCUGUGAUGACCAAUUGACCACGGGGCGGUUCACGCAAGGUAAAUGCACCCGGGAGCACCAAGCUUUGUGCUCCUAAGGAGGCCUGUAAUGAACACGGGCCGGUUCACUUGCAGGUGGUGUAACUAGUGGAAUUAUUAAAUGCACCCGGGAGCACCUAGCUUGUGCUCCUAAGGAGGCCUGGGACCACGGGCUGAUCACGCAAGGUAAAUGCACCCGGGAGCACCUAGCUUUGUGCUCCUAAGGAGGCCUGUAAUGAACACGGGCCAGUUCACGUGCAAGUGGUGUAAUUAGUGGAAUUAUUAAAUGCACCCGGGAGCACCUAGCUUUGUGCUCCUAAGGAGGCCUGUGAUGACCAAUUGACCACGGGCCGGGUCACGUACAAGUGGUGUUACUAGUGGAUUUACCUUAGCAUAUUAUAAAAUGCACCUGGGAGCACCUAGCUUUGUGCUCCUAAGGAGGCCUGUGAUGACCACAUGGCCGGUUCACGCAAGUUGCAAGUGGUGUAACUAGUGGGAUUACAGAUAACUUGCCCUAUCCCUCUCCACUUUUGGUUCACAUUCUCAUCUGUCAGAUUGUAGUAAAAACCUUACAGGAAGCAAAGCAUGUAAGAGCAAUAAUAUUCCCUACCUCUCUAGCCUCUACCACGACAUUUUGGUAUCAAUUGGACGUACGUUCCCAGUCAACAAGGCUCCCGCUAUUUAUCGCUGGGGAAGGUCCACCACCCUUUGAUAUCAAAUGGUACACAACAAUAAUAGAACUUGCUUGUAAUAGAAGAGAGAGAAAGUGAGACAGAACAUCUGCAACAAACUAGGCCUAGAGAUUUCAAAUUGCAUGCUUGAUAAUUGAUACCAGCAAAAAUACAUCUCUCCCUUCAUUCAUGAUUACAACUAACAUAUGAAAUCUACACCAUUUAUUUCUCAAAUCUUCAUCCUUACCACAACUAGAAGGGGAAAUAUCUAAAGAAUCCAGAAAGUCCAAAGAGUAAAAAUAAGACGGACCAUUUAUCGUAGUAUUAAUCGAUAUUCAUGGAUACAACCCCCCGUUUAUUUCCCAAAUGGUGAGGCAAUAUGGGGGGUGCUAACAAAAUCUAGAUACAGAAAAGAAUGAACAAACUGAAACCAAAUCCAACUGGACACAGAUAUCGGAAUGUGAAAAGUGAAAAAAAAGUAAAAAAAAAUACACAUCCACACACAUAAACAUAUAAGAGGGGGAUAUGUAUAAAGUUCCUCACUCAAAAUCCCAAGGGAACUUGGGGUUGAAGAGCUUUGGAGUGACUGAUCCCGGUGAUGAUGUAGGGGAAACCGGGAUAAGUGGCGGUGCAGACUCGAAAGUCUCCCAUUGUGUUGUUACAACAGUCCCAGCCGCGGAAGUUGAAUGCCUUGAUGGCUCUUGCUGCGGCUUUGGCUGUAAUGGCGAGUGGCCUAUAGAAUUCCUUUGUCGCUGUGAUGGAAGGGGCGGUUUUCCCAAAUUUGAUGUUUUCUCUUGACUAUAACCAUUACCAAUGACUGAGUUUUUAGCAUUCCCAUUUGAAUAUCUCUGUUGAUUUUCGUUGUUUGUUGUAUGAGCUCCAUUUGCUGCUGGUGUUGAGUUUUUGGCCUUCAACACAUCUAAAGUCUCCACAUACUUCUGAACUCGUCUCACCUACAUGAAAAAUAUGAGAAAUGUGAAAUCAUAGCUAAUUAGGCUCUGUUCUCUUCGCCUGAUUGGUUUGAUUUUUCUAGUUUCUGGUCUGGCAUGGUCUGAUUUUUCCUGGUUAGUUCUGAAUGCUUUCUGCUAGUGAUUUUUUUUCCUUUUCUGAUGUGGUCUAAUAAACAAUAAGAAUACGGUGAAGAGAAUAGAUUGUAACGAACUUCAAAGCUGAGUUCUUGAGAGAAUACUUAUUAGAAUCAGGAGUUUAAUUACCUGCAUCUUUCGUUGCAACUUCACAUCUCCAUCGGCGGUAAUACCGUCUAAUUUGAUCAGUUCAUUCAUUAGUAAUUCAAUGACACCCACAACAUCCUUCUCUGCUACUCUUCCCCCUUUCGAGAUCACUGAUUCAAGAGCUGACACCUGCACCCAAUUACAGUAAAAACAAUUAAAAACAAAAAACUCAUAAUUACACUUUUUCAAGUUCUUUAACCAAAUUUCCUCGAUUUGGAAGUCACACACAAACAAACAUUCUUCAUCAACACUUCCAAAUCCAAACAUAAUCAAUCCCCAAUACGACCCAUUGUCGGAACAACAAUCAUAUUUCAUCCCCUCGAACUGUAAUUGAAGUUCAAGAACAUCAAGAAAGCAAUAAUCAACUCUGUCACACUUCCAAAUCCAAAACAUAAUCACUUAACCAGUCCCCAAUUCGAGCAAUUGUUGGAACAAUCAUAUUAACUGUAAUUGAAGGUCAAGAACAUCAAUAAAGUGAAUUACCUGACCGCCAAGUCUAUCAACUUGUAAGCUGAUCUCUGAAAUAGUCUUGGCAGCUUUCUCCAUUUUAGCGUUCUUCCUCAUUUCAAGGUACCUUUUCUCCUGACUAAUUGGAUCCUCCACCAAUACCAAUUUCGAUUUAUCCUUCACCCCAACAAUAUCCAAAAACUCCUUUGAAUCUCUCUCUUUAUCCUUGUAAUACACCUUCAUAUCUUGAUGAUGCAACCCUGUUGGCUCUGCUAACAUUUUCUUCAAUUCCCC